GCGCGCGUAUGCUCAGCGGUUAGAGCUGCCUGCUCAUAACAGGUCGGUCGUUGGUUCGAAUUCAACCGCGCGCACCA
rnacentral:tRNA from 1 species